AUGGCUACUCCCACAUCACAGCCUGUAUUUGGUAACCCUAACCACUUCACAAUUAAUCCAUCUUCCUUGGGAAAUAAUGAUCAGAUGAAUAUGGAAGACAGCAUGGCAGAGGAUACCAUUCAAGCUUCCAUGCCCACAGUUCCAGUAUUUAGCCAAUCUCCUGUCACACCUCAGUCUGGCUUUGUGUUUGGGUCAACUCCAUCAGCAGGAAGUCCCAUUCAAUUUGGAGCCCCACAGAAUUCAGCCACCCCACAGAACCAAUCUCCAUUUCAGGCUUCAAAUAGUUUAGGAGGGAGCAGCUUCUCACUGGGUGCUGGUGGUGGUGAUAAGGCUAAUCGAAAAAUUGUCAGAGUUAGUCGCAACAAGACGCGGAGAAAGUAAAUAUACCAAUCAUUAUAUCAACCAUUUCCGACAAAUUGGGAUCGUUGUCAGAGGCGACAGUUGCAAUUGAUGGAUAAAUAAUUAUAAUGGUUAGAUAUCCAUAGCCGGAGAUUGCUGUAUCUGUUGGUCACCUGGAAUUGAUUGGUGCUGACAAAGUUGAAUGAAGCUUGUUAGGGCUCAAAAUCCAAUGAUUCUCAUUCUCCUUUACAUUUUUUUUGUGUCUUCUAUGGUUGCAGUGCGGUCAUAAGUUUUGACAGUUUUGUAUCAGUCUGUAGCAAAUCUAAAGAACAUUUGUGCUGUACUAGUAGUAGUCGUUCGUAGAAUUUGAGGUUGGGCAACUGUGCCAGUGAUGGUGUUAUGUGUACUGUUAUUUUGUAACAUUAAAAGAAAAGGGCAUGAAUCAGUUUAAGGAAAGAAAGUUGCUCUCGAUUAAGAAAGUUAAGAAUUUUCUGUGCUUUUUGAGCUUGACAAAUGUAUGCCGGCUCGACAUGUGAAGCCUUUGUGUUCAUAAUCUCUGCUGGAAGCCUGCAAGGAUUGGUGUUAGUAGGCAGAAAAUAAUGUUGGUUAGUGUAUAUGUGUGUCUUUAAGUAAUAAUGGGAGUUAUAAUAGCUUGUACUUUAAAAGGGAACUGCACAAACGGAAUGAUCGUUCUAAAAUGCUCUUCGUGGCAGGGAACGGCGGAUUAAAUUUGGAAAAAAGAUGUGCUCAAUUCAACUAUAGAGAGAAUAUUUGGGUUUUUAUUUUUUGGUAGAAGGAUGUAAGGAAAAAAUAAAAAAUAAAUAAAGAAUUUUAUGCGAUAUAUUAAGGGUCUGUUUGAAUACAGUUAAAAACUGAAAAUUAAAAAUACUGUAGCAAAAUAAUUUUUAAACGUGUGAAUAAUAUUAUAAGACCUAUUUUUAAGGAAAAAGUUAUGAAAAGUAAAAGUUGGGGGUCUGUAAACGGUACAUAAAUGUACUGUUGACUGACAAAGUCAGUGUGAUUACUGUUUAUUAAACAGUAGCCACACAGUAACUGCGUUACUUCCUCGCACGCCUUGGAAAAAAAAAAAAAACGCAGAACAAAAACGCAAACACCACUUUCAGUAGAAUCCAAACGGGCACUAACUUCUAAUUUGAAAAAUAUGCCAACCUUAAAAUUUUGGGUCACAAGCAUCUCUUGAGUGGAAUAAUACUUGAAGCUAAGUUUUGUCUCUACGAAAAUAUCUUAUUUUCCCAAAUAUUUUUUUACCAUAAAAGUGGUUUUCGAAACAAUACUUUAGAUUCAUAUACUGUGGGAUAAGACAGUUCGAACAAAAUUGGACAGUUUAUCUUCUUCUUCCUCUUCUUUUUCCCUACAAUCAAGUUUUUAAAUAUCAACUUGUGGUUAAAGAUUGGUCACUCUAGAUGGAAUUGAAGGAGCAAAUAAGUUCUAGGAAAGCUUUAUGCUCCAGAAGCAGAUGUUUGGAGUGCUGGAGUAAUUCUAUACAUUUUAUUAAGUGGAGUGCCUCCCUUUUGUGCUGGUAAGAAGUUUAGAAUCUACUAGUUCUUGAAAUUUCAUUACUUUUUUGUCUGUAUUUGUCUAAAUAUGUUCCAAAUUUUGCUUAUUGUUUUCCUUUUUCCCCAUUUUCUCUUUUCAUCCAUGCAAUGAUUAUGUAGAAUUCGAGCAAAGGGUAUUCAAACAGGUCCUGCAUGGUGGUCUUGACUUCACUUCUGAACCUUGGCCUAGUAUAUCCGAAAGUGCAAAAGAUUUAGUGAGGAAAAUGCUUGUUCUAGAUCCUAGGAGGCGGCCAACUGUGCAUGACGUUUUGUGUGAGUCCUCCAUUGUUUUGUUUUGAUUUUUGAUUAGUUAAUUCCGAUAUGUGGGAAUUACAUGAUUAGGGAAUGGGGUUGAGUAGAAUCUAUUUCUAUUGUAAUACAUAUAAGAUUUUAUAAUAUUUUCCAUUCAGCUUUUUCUUGUGACUUUAUGAGCCCUGAUGCAUGUAUACAUAAAUUAGAUUGAAGUAAAUAUGAGAAUAUCUUCAAUGUAAUAGUAAUGUUGGCUUUUGUAUUCCAAAUGAUGAAAGAAGGAAUAUUUGUCUUUCAAAGGUUUGUUGAGAACUACUACUGAAGCACUUUUAUAGUCCUGUUGGCUGUGUUUUGAAUCAUUAAAAUGCUGAAACCUUGAAAUGCCAUUGAAUUCAUUCAGUCCUGGUUUGCCAUAUUAUCCACAACAUCAAUGGAAAUUUCAUAUGCAACUAAGAAUCUUGUCCUUAUUUUUCUAUUUUUCCCUUUUCAAAUUUCAGACUUGUUUAGAAUGACCAGGUCUUCGGCUUCUGCUGUUUGUCUUGAAUCAUUGUCAUUAUUUAUGUAUAUAAAUCCCAAAAUACUUAUAUUAGGUUUCACACAUGGGAUUUUCUUUUCCUAGCUAAUAAACUGUAUAAAUUCCUGUCAGGUCAUCCCUGGGUGCAAAUUGAUAGAGUUGCUCCUGACAAGCUUCUUGAUUCUGCAGUUUUAAGUCGCUUGAAUCAGUUUUCUGCUAUGAAUAAACUCAAAAAAAUAGCUAAAGUAAGUGUCUGGAUGUGAAGGUUGAUUACAUUUGAAUAUAAAAUCACUGAAAAGCUCAAUAGAUAGAGUUGCUACAUAAUUUGCGUAUUCAGAACCAGGUUGAAAGUAUUGUUUGGAUUUCUAUUAGAUAGAAUAACUAGUCCAUUUCUCACUCUUUUUUUUUUUUUUUUUACUAAUACAUGUAUAAAAAGAAAAAUGAGAGGGAGAGAGAAAAAGAAAGGUGGAGGGGUGCCCGGGAGGGGUGUGCACAGAGAGAGAGUCCCAACUUUAAACUUUAAUCUAUUGAAAAUUUGAAAGCCAGGGGAACAAAAAAUAACUUACUAUAUAACUUUUCACUUUCUUUCCUACAAAAUAAAAUUUUAGCUAUUAAGUAUUACUCCAUGAUAGUAUUUAUUAUAUAGGUGUAGAAGUAAUAACAGUAUGUCAGUUUAACAGAUCUUUAAAGCUACUACCUUAAAACAAGUGUGUGUUACUUUCAACUAAGGGACUCAUGAGCUUGUUUAGUCAUUCAAUAUUGACUCUCCUAGAACAUUUACAAUAUUAGUGAGACAUUAAUUGGGAUAGAAGAUAAUAAAAGGAUAGCAAUCAAGAUUUUUGUAAUUUAAUUGUUUUUUGGGGCAAUUGCACACAGAACAAUUUUAUAUUGUUUGGCUAGUCAACCACUCCAUGAUAUAGAUUUGGAAUGUGGAGUCUUAAUUAGAGGGCCUGUGCUGGUAGAGGUUUUGAGAGGAGGUUCAUAAAGAAUGGUUAAUGAGUAUAGGCAUAUGAGAAACCAUGCCUAUACAAUAAUUGUGAACUUGUUCCAAUUUUUAUUUUUUAUUUUUAAUGGAUGUGAAAUAUCAUUAAUCACAACAACAGAGAUACAAAGAAGCAGCUGAGCUGCAGAACACCAGAAAACACGACCUACACCAUCAAAACCUGAAAAACUCAGCUAACAUAACACAUAUAACAGAAACAAAGACCAACUAGAAUCAAGGCUCAAAAACAGGAAAGGGAUCCUCCACUGACAACAAAAGGGAUCUUAUUGUUAUCAUUGAGUUAAUAAAAGUUAAAUAGAAGAUACGGAAUUUCUCAUUAUUUCGUUUCUUUUCUUCUACUAUUUAUAUUUUGCUUUUGGGGACUAGAGGAGUUUUCAACGUGCUAGGGGUAAAGGGGAGGAAGGUGUUUUCUUCUUCAUAUCACUAAUGACAUGAUGGACAGUGUUUUGAAAAUGAAAAUUAAACAAUAAUCCCUCCUUAAUGUUAUAUUAUUUUUUAUAAGAGUGAUUAGCCACAUGGAUGAUUGGGAUGCAUGCUAUUACUUCAAGUGGUAUAUAUUUCCUAUUUCUCCGAAUUAUUUUGAUAUAAGAAGACAUCAAUGCAUUCUAUUAUAUCUAUAAAAAAAAAUAGAGUGACUAGAACUGCUUUUUGAGAGAGCUCGCUUGGGAAACUGCUCUCGUCUCAUUGCAUGAAUGUGCUAUAGGAAAGAAUAUUUAAAAGGGCUAUAAUGUUUCAGAGAAUUUUGUUAGCUGCCAUAAGACUAUGGAAUAAUGUUGUAUUACUGAAUUAUAUUUUAAAUCUGAUGUUUUACUAAAUUGCAGGCAGAUAUUGAUAACAGUGGAACCAUUGAUUAUGGAGAAUUCAUUGCUGCAAGAUUGCAUCUGAACAAAAUUGACAGAGAUGAUCAUCUAUUUGCAGCUUUUUCCUACUUUGAUAAGGAUGGAAGUGGUUUUGUUACUGCUGAUGAGAUUCAAAAAGCUUGUGAGGAGUUUGGCAUAGAAGAUGUUCGCCUAGAAGAUUUUAUCCAAGAAGUUGAUCAGGACAACGUGUGUGUUUUCUUUUAUCAUAUCUUCUCCAUAGUACUAUGGUAAAGGAUUGAAAGAACAAUCUUUAUGGCCUUCCAACCCUUCUUCGCUACUUGCUUCUAAGACCUUGACAACUCAGUAAAACCUGAUUAGGGUAGCACUUUGGUCAAGCUAUAUGUCCACCCAAGAGAACUUGAAAUUCAUUUUAAGUUGGAUUUGACUAAUGGUUUUUUCUGAUGAAAAUUAAGUACAAUUUAAGAAGCUAAAACUAUCAUACCAUGGUGAUUAGGCAUUUGGAGCAGGGAGAGGGGUUGAGAUAUGGAUUUUUUCUUGUUGAUCUUCCUAAAUAAUAAGAUGAUACAGUUUUUGCAACUAUUUAGUUUUUUGCCUGAAGGCCAUUUCUGUGCAAUGGUUGAUGGCUGCAUUUGAUGCUAAAGAGCCUAAAUAUUAGGUUCCAAACCACAUUAACAUGACUGGCACAGCAUAUCAUUCUUUCCAUUUACAUAGUGUAGAGUAGUAAGUUUCAUUAAGCCAGCCCAAGAGUCUUGACACCAAGUGGUAAAAAGGUAGGUGGAAUUAGAUCAGGUAUUAGGUGCAAGUCCUGCCAAGGAGAAGAAAUCCACUAAGUCUAUUCAGCAAUUUGCUCAUUCCUUUUGUGUGUGAUGCCUAUAAUCAUUUGUUUCUGUCAAUUUUGCAAGAUGGAACAAUAGAUUACAAUGAGUUUGUGGCAAUGA
rnacentral:sRNA from 1 species